rnacentral:rRNA from 1 species
AUACGGAGGGUGCAAGCGUUACUCGGAAUCACUGGGCGUAAAGCGCGCGCAGGCGGUCUUUUAAGUUGGAUGUGAAAGCGUACAGCUCAACUGUAGAACUGCAUCCAAAACUAUUAGACUAGAGUCUGGGAGGGGAAGAUGGAAUUAGUUGUGUAGGGGUAAAAUCCGUAGAGAUAACUAGGAAUACCAAAAGCGAAGGCGAUCUUCUGGAACAGUACUGACGCUGAGGCGCGAAAGCGUGGGGAGCAAACAGGAUUAGAAACCCUAGUAGUCC